CGAUCUUCGGAUCACUUUGGUCAAAUUGAAACGAUACAGAGAAGAUUGUAAGUACCCCCCUAAGGUCGUGAGUUCGAGUUCCACUAACACCCGUCUAGAGCAUGGCCCCUGCACAAGGAUGACACUGCGACAUUGAGAGAAACCCAAUUUUUUU
rnacentral:snRNA from 21 species